GUAAUAUCCAACCUUGACCACGGAUCUGGAGCAACCGCUGACGGAAGAGAAGAAAUGAACAAUGAACACAACAUAACACAAAAAUGCACAAUAUACACGGACAUAUAGUUAAAGAAAUGAAUACGACUUAGCCAGCUUGGCUGCUGGACCAGAGGGUUGCAAAAACGGUCUAAUCCCCCAAUCCCGGGGGGUGGUAGUGGUCAGCCAUCCCCCCAUCCUGGCUGGGGUGACCGACUCCCAUCUCCCAUCUUAGGGGCCCGGUGCUAAUCCCAUCCCUUGAGACAGGUUUCCCAUCCUGCCAGCCUGGGUCCCAUCCCCAAUCCUAUGGCCAGGGUUUCCAAUCCCAUCCUGCAGCUGUGUUCCCCCAAUCCUCAUCCUGCCAGCCAGGGUCCCUUCCCAAUCCCUUCGACCAGGGCCAUCCCCAUCCUGCAGCUGUGUUCAGAUCCGAAAGCUGUCAGCCAGGGUCCCAUCCCCAUCCCUUGCCAGCUACAAACCUACUCCUUACGUUUACACAGGUGCUGUAAUAUCGGCUUUCUCUUUAGGCGUAAAUCAGGGGAAUGACCAGGGUUAUUUUCUAUUUCCGCGAGAUAUUUUUCUCUUGCUCUAUGGCUUAUUUCCUC
rnacentral:lncRNA from 1 species